GUUAAGCUGCUGCGUUGGUGACUGCCAAUAAAGUUUUUUGAUCUAUGCUUUGUAAGUUUAGGGAGCCGACAUCUUUUUUGUGGUAGUAAACCGAGCUUGUACUCGGAAACGGAAACAAACUGAGUUAGCACCCACCUGGUUCAACCAGGUCAUAAACUGAGGUAAAACGGCGCAGCAGUCUUGUU
rnacentral:other from 1 species